UACGGAGGAUGCAAGCGUUAUCCGGAAUGAUUGGGCGUAAAGCGUCCGCAGGUGGCUAUGUAAGUCUGCUGUUAAAGAGUGAGGCUCAACCUCAUAAGAGCAGUGGAAACUACAUGGCUAGAGUGCGUUCGGGGCAGAGGGAAUUCCUGGUGUAGCGGUGAAAUGCGUAGAGAUCCGGAGGAACACCAGAGGCGAGGCGGCCUACUGGGUCAGUACUGACGCUGAGGCCGCGAAAGCCCAGGGGGAGCGGAAACGGGA
rnacentral:rRNA from 1 species